GAUAUGAAAAUUUGCGUUCGUUGAUUCGUCAAGAGAACCCAUUUCUAUUUCUUUCAUUUUUUGAAUUCUGACAGGAGUAGUUGUGUAAAAUGGCGAAACGUACCAAGAAGGUAGGAAUUACAGGAAAAUAUGGAACCCGUUAUGGUGCUUCCCUCCGUAAAAUGGUUAAAAAAAUGGAAAUUACACAACACAGUAAAUACUCUUGCAGUUUUUGUGGCAAGGACGCAAUGAAGAGGUCAUGUGUAGGAAUCUGGUCAUGCAAAAGAUGUAAACGUGUAGUUGCAGGUGGAGCAUGGGUAUAUUCUACCACAGCAGCCUCUUCAGUAAGAUCAGCAGUCAGACGCCUUCGGGAAGUAAAGGAGCAGUAAUUGUAUAAUUUUUAAUUUAAUAAAAUAUGAAAAUC